GUGGGUAUGGCUCAGUGGUCGAACACCUGCUUAGCAUUCAUGAAGUCCUGGGUUCACUUCCCAGUACUUCCA
rnacentral:tRNA from 1 species